GAUGAACGCUGGCGGCGUGCCUAAUACAUGCAAGUCGAGCGAACGGACGAGAAGCUUGCUUCUCUGAUGUUAGCGGCGGACGGGUGAGUAACACGUGGAUAACCUACCUAUAAGACUGGGAUAACUUCGGGAAACCGGAGCUAAUACCGGAUGAUAUUUUGAACCGCAUGGUUCAAAAGUGAAAGACGGUCUUGCUGUCACUUAUAGAUGGAUCCGCGCUGCAUUAGCUAGUUGGUAAGGUAACGGCUUACCAAGGCAACGAUGCAUAGCCGACCUGAGAGGGGGAUCGGCCACACUGGAACUGAGACACGGUCCAGACUCCUACGGGAGGCAGCAGUAGGGAAUCGUCCGCAAUGGGCGAAAGCCUGACGGAGCAACGCCGCGUGAGUGAUGAAGGUCUUCGGAUCGUAAAACUCUGUUAUUAGGGAAGAACAUAUGUGUAAGUAACUGUGCACAUCUUGACGGUACCUAAUCAGAAAGCCACGGCUAACUACGUG
rnacentral:rRNA from 1 species